rnacentral:rRNA from 1 species
GAUGAACGCUGGCGGCGUGCCUAAUACAUGCAAGUCGAGCGAACAGACGAGGAGCUUGCUCCUCUGACGUUAGCGGCGGACGGGUGAGUAACACGUGGAUAACCUACCUAUAAGACUGGGAUAACUUCGGGAAACCGGAGCUAAUACCGGAUAAUAUAUUGAACCGCAUGGUUCAAUAGUGAAAGACGGUUUUGCUGUCACUUAUAGAUGGAUCCGCGCCGCAUUAGCUAGUUGGUAAGGUAACGGCUUACCAAGGCGACGAUGCGUAGCCGACCUGAGAGGGUGAUCGGCCACACUGGAACUGAGACACGGUCCAUACUCCUACGGGAGGCAGCAGUAGGGAAUCUUCCGCAAUGGGCGAAAGCCUGACGGAGCAACGCCGCGUGAGUGAUGAAGGUCUUCGGAUCGUAAAACUCUGUUAUUAGGGAAGAACAAAUGUGUAAGUAACUAUGCACGUCUUGACGGUACCUAAUCAGAAAGCCACGGCUAACUACGUG